rnacentral:rRNA from 1 species
UACGAACUGUGCAAACGUUAUUCGGAAUCACUGGGCUUACAGGGUGCGUAGGCGGCCUGACAAGUAGGGUGUGAAAGCCCCCGGCUCAACCGGGGAAUGGCGCCCUAAACUGUCGGGCUGGAGUGAGAUAGGGGUGUGCGGAACUUCCGGUGGAGCGGUGAAAUGUGUUGAUAUCGGAAGGAACGCCGGUGGCGAAAGCGGCACACUGGAUCUCAACUGACGCUGAGGCACGAAAGCCAGGGGAGCGAACAGG